rnacentral:misc_RNA from 1 species
GGGAGGUGGCAGAUCAUCUGCAAGAGAAACCAUUGGGAGAGUUGCAGCUGGAGCUGUUGCAAAGAAAAUUCUCAAGAUGAAAACAGGAACAGAGAUUCUGGCAUAUGUUUCUCAAGUGCAUAAAGUUGUACUUCCAGAUGGUGUUGUUGAUAAUGAGACUGUGACCUUAGACCAGAUAGAGAGUAAUAUAGUUAGGUGCCCAGAUCCAGAAUAUGCUCAGAAGAUGAUUGAUGCCAUUGAUACCAUCAGAGUGAAAGGCGAUUCUGUUGGUGGUGUUGUGACCUGCAUCGCGAGAAAUGUUCCACGUGGGCUUGGUUCUCCAGUCUUUGAUAAGCUUGAAGCUGAACUGGCAAAAGCUGUAAUGUCAUUGCCUGCGACAAAGGGAUUUGAGUUUGGCAG